rnacentral:rRNA from 1 species
GAUGAACGCUGGCGGCGUGCCUAAUACAUGCAAGUCGAGCGAACAGACGAGGAGCUUGCUCCUCUGACGUUAGCGGCGCACGGGUGAGUAACACGUGGAUAACCUACCUAUAAGACUGGGAUAACUUCGGGAAACCGGCGCUAAUACCGGAUAAUAUAUUGAACCACAUGGCUCAAUAGUGAAAGACGGUUUUGCUGUCACUUAUAGAUGGAUCCGGGCGGCAUUAGCUAGUUGGUAAGGUAACGGCUUACCAAGGCAACGAUGCGUAGCCGACCUGAGAGGGUGAUCGGCCACACUGGAACUGAGCCACGGUCCAGACUCCUACGGGAGGCAGCAGUAGGGAAUCUUCCGCAAUGGGCGAAAGCCUGACGGAGCAACGCCGCGUGAGUGAUGAAGGUCUUCGGAUCGUAAAACUCUGUUAUUAGGGAAGAACAAAUGUGUAAGUAACUAUGCACGUCUUGACGGUACCUAAUCAGAAAGCCACGGCUAACUACGUG